CCUACGGGAGGCAGCAGUGAGGAAUAUUGGUCAAUGGACGCGAGUCUGAACCAGCCAAGUAGCGUGAAGGAUGACUGCCCUCUGGGUUUUAAACUUCUUUUAUAUGGGAAUAAAACAGGGUAUGCAUACCCUCUUGUAUUUACCUUAUGAAUAAGAAUCGGCUAACGACGUGCCAGCAGCCGCGGUAAUACGGAGGAUGCGAGCGUUAUCCGGAUUUACUGGGUUUAAAGGGAGCGUAGGUGGAUUGUUAAGUCAGUUGUGAAAGUUUGCGGCUUAACCGUAAAAUUGCAGUUGAAACUGGCAGGCUUGAGUACAGUAGAGGUGGGCAGAAUUCGUGGUGUAGCGGUGAAAUGCGUAGAGAUCACGAAGAACUCCGAUUGCGAAGGCAGCUCACUGGACUGCAACUGACACUGAUGCGCGAAAGUGUGGGGAGCAAACAGGAUUAGAUACCCGUGUAGUC
rnacentral:rRNA from 1 species